rnacentral:lncRNA from 1 species
UUCGGACAUUGAGGGCUCCAAUGGUCAGAUGGAGUUCUAAUUUUUAAGAUCCAUGUUAUGAUCUCUUAGUUUCCUACCUGUUGCCAAGUGGCUAACAAGGGUAUUGCAACUUCUGACAUGAUAUAAGACUUAAAUUUUACAGUUAUACAAAAUCAUGAUCACAUUACAACUUCUGGUAAAUGCUAUCUGAUUAAGUGUUUAUGGCAUGUUAAUGAAAAUGUUGUCAGUGUUGGGAUUGACUUGAUGCCAGUUCAUCUUGAUAAGUUAUGUUUCCUGUGCAGAUUGCAUUAGAUAAAAAUGAUCUUGAUAAAACUUUCAUACAGCUUACAAUUGAAUUGGUGACGAAGCAGGUCUGAUCUCCUAGAGCUCUGAACAUUGUCUACUGUACAGAACAUUGUCUAAUGUGUUUUUGACCCCCUCAUAAUGAUUGGAUAUUAUUGUAUUUUCUUUGACUUUAUUCUUUUAUUGAAUUGUUUAUUAUAAGUUAAUGCUCUUCAGUUAUUUUAUGGAGCCAGCAUUUAGAUCGCUUCCCUGUGGUUAAUAUUAAACAGAGUUUGGUUAUUCUUGACAUACUUGUUGCGGAUUAUUGUAUAGAAUUUUGUAUCUUUCCAUUCUAGGGCAUGCAAAGUAUCAAUAUGGUAUGCGACGCUAUAUGUAUUAUUUGGCGUCAUGUAAGUACUAGUACUAUGUGAAGCUCAUCUACUCGUUAUGCUAUGAGAAUUGAGGAUUUGGGUUCCAACGCAUGCUAGCCUAUAGUGACUGUAUUGUAUUAAUCUAGUAAGGUACCAACACUAAAUGUCCCUUGGUAACAGUCCAUGCCAAAAACAUACUAUAUUGCCUCAUUUUUGUUGUGCCAACACCAAGAGACAUGCCAUGUAUCAGUAUGGCACCAUAUUGCAUUGUUCCAUACCAUAUAAGUAGGUAACAAUGCAGGUUAGAAGGUAUGGUACCGGUACUUCAACCCUGAUGGGAAUCUCUCAAGCUGUAAGUACAUUGAUUUCUAGCAAUUGAUAUGACAUGAAAUGACAGUUUUUUGUCACUUUUAGGGCUGAUUUAUAGAUUGAACCUUCAAAUCUUGGAAAAAUAGUCAAAGUUAAUGAGGAAAAGCAUCGAAAGUUCUGGAACUGAGAUAUGAUUGUUUGGAAUGUUGAAGCGCAUGCUUAAAAUGAGAAAGCAGGGUUGAAGUCCACAAUGCUAUAUAUUGUGCCAUAAAGCUUAUAUCACAAGUUCACAACCAUACACACUAGUGUAGGCUAUUAUGCAGUAUAUUUGAUAAUCAUAGAUGGUACAGAGGCAUGCACAUGCCAAUAAGCUGCCAGCAAAUAUGUAUCAUGUCGUACAAUAUUGGUGCGAACUGGCACUUUAGUCUUCGGUUAUUCGCUCAUCUUGACAAAUGAAACCUUUGUAUCUUCAUGCUAGAAGUCCUGGCCAAUGAAAGUUGGUGGUUUAGUGUGCCUGUUGUGGUAAUUAUGACUGGAUAAGGAAAGGACUAGCAAAGCAGGGUAUCUCAAUGUUCUUUCUUGCACUAACGUAUUCUAGUUGAAACUAUCACAAUUUUCUUUUUGUUUUGCUGUGUGGCAGCAAAACCUUGAAGCACUUGUGUUGUUGCGAUACUAGAAUUCCAGACUUCUUAAAACCCUGACCUUGAUAAGGUUCCCUCUUUGAAAACAUACAGACAAUCAUAUCAACAUCAAUUCUUGUAGGAUUAUUCUAAAUCCCAAGAGGGAGAAUACUUAACCUGCUAUGGGUUAUGUGAUAGGCCGUCAUUUGCUACUAGACAGAAUUCUGCACCUAACUUUUAAUUGUUAACCAAGUUUUCCAGAUUUCUUGUCAUAUAUCUAUUUCUGAAUCUAGUUAAUCUCCAGCCAUGGAGGAUGGAAUUUUAACUUCUAUAUGAAUCGGACUUUUUUGAUCCUAUAGAUCAAAUAUCAAAUAACCUGUUGUUUGUUCUCUCGCAACUGAUGUUCUGUUAUUUAGCAUACUUAGAAAACAAAUGAUGCACAUAAAUCCUAGCAAAUUACUUAUGAAAAAUGGAUCGCAUGGAUACAGGGUCCAUAUUGCUUUGUAUCUUGAUCGAUCAAGUGUAUAAGACAAUGUCCUCUGACUAGUAGAUUGAGGGUCAUGUUUUAGUUUAGGGCAUGAUCAAUGUUUUGUUGAUAGAUGUAACUCUUGGGAUCAUUUUGGUAUGAAACUCAACAAUCUCUUUGCAGUAUGCUGAUUAAUAUGCAUAACAUACAUAGUUUGUCUCCAAUGCUUUUCUUUUCUUUUC